CGCAAUGGGCGAAAGCCUGACGGAGCAAUACCGCGUGAGGGAUGACGGCCUUAGGGUUGUAAACCUCUUUUAUCAAGGAGGAAGUUCUGACGUGUACUUGAUGAAUAAGCAUCGGCUAACUCCGUGCCAGCAGCCGCGGUAAGACGGAGGAUGCAAGUGUUAUCCGGAAUCACUGGGCGUAAAGCGUCUGUAGGUCGUUUAAAAAGUCUACUGUUAAAAAUUGAGGCUUAACUUCAAAGAUGCCGUAGAAACUUUUAAACUUGAGGAUGGUAGGGGUAGAGGGAAUUUCCAGUGGAGCGGUGAAAUGCGUAGAUAUUGGAAAGACCGCCAACGGCGAAGGCACUCUACUGGGCCAUGACCCCCCCUUUAUACGAAAGCUA
rnacentral:rRNA from 1 species